rnacentral:rRNA from 1 species
AUGCCAGACAGUAAAUUUAAUUUACACCGCAAACGCCAGGGUACUACGAGCCCCGCUUAAAACCCAAAGGACUUGACGGUGCCCCAUCCCACUAGAGGAGCCUGUUCUAUAAUCGAUAAUCCACGAUUCACCUCACCACUAUUUGCUCUUCAGCCUGUAUACCUCCGUCGCAAGCCUGCCAUAUGAAUGACUCACAGCAGGCCUAAUGAUUUAACCCUCAAUACGUCAGGUCAAGGUGCAGCCAAUAUAGUGGGAAGUAAUGGGCUACAAUUUCUAACUUAGAACAUACAAACUGCUAUCUGAAACAAUAGCCACAAGGCGGAUUUAGAAGUAAGGAGAAAAUAAUGUGUUCUCCUUAAUUGGCACUGGGUCGCGUACAAACCGCCCGUCACCCUCUUCAAUAGCACCCUUAAUUAUACAUAAUACCCAAUCGCAUCCUAGAAGAGGCAAGUCGUAACAUGGUAAGUGUACUGGAAGGUGCACUUAGAACAA